rnacentral:rRNA from 1 species
GAUGAACGCUGGCGGCGUGCUUAACACAUGCAAGUCGAACGGAAAGGCUCCUGCUUGCCGGGGUCCUCGAGUGGCGAACGGGUGAGUAACACGUGGGUGAUCUGCCCUGCACUUCGGGAUAAGCCUGGGAAACUGGGUCUAAUACCGGAUAGGACCACAUUUUGGAUGGUGUGGUGGAAAGUUUUUCGGUGUGGGAUGAGCUCGCGGCCUAUCAGCUUGUUGGUGGGGUAAUGGCCUACCAAGGCGUCGACGGGUAGCCGGCCUGAGAGGGUGUACGGCCACAUUGGGACUGAGAUACGGCCCAGACUCCUACGGGAGGCAGCAGUGGGGAAUAUUGCACAAUGGGCGCAAGCCUGAUACAGCGACGCCGCGUGGGGGAUGACGGCCUUCGGGUUGUAAACUCCUUUCGCUAGGGACGAAGCGCAAGUGACGGUACCUGGAGAAGAAGCACCGGCUAACUACGUG